CCGGAAUUCUCUCUUAUCAUGGAUACAAUUUGCAGUUCCUCAAGAUGUCUGAUAUACUCAAGCAUGUGCUUCUCCUCAACAAAACUACCGAUCUGCUGCUUCUUUCACCUCACUAGCACCAGAUGAAAUGGCACCGUCUUUAAAACAUUUUAAAUUGGCUCUAGGGGUGAAAUUAUCAACAGGUUGUUGUUGUCCAUCAUUCAGCGUAUUCGGAGUCUUGAACACGUUCAUGUAGUGGCCAGGAUUUCCUGGAUCAGGGUAAUGUGUUGGAACCUUACAGUAUGUCGCCCCCACCCAAGUGUCUCCCGGCAUCUGUUGCAAAUGUCUUUGUAUGCCUGUCAAAAAUGCAUGCAAAAGUGCCAUUAUGCUUCAAUUUCUUUAAUUUCCAUCCCGUUUGUACGAAAUAUCCCAUAAACAUAGAACACAUCAUUCUUGCAAAUCGUAUAUGCUUUUUUGUUUUUGGAACUGCUACUUUUUGGCGCGUAAGUUACUUCACAAACCUGGCGCCAAAAGGCGUCAGAGGAUUAUACGUAUUGGCACUCUCAUACUAAGUUUUGGGAGAAAAGGGGGGUCUGGGGGUCCUCCCCCAGAAAAUUUUUACAUUUUUGAAGCUCUAGGACUGAAUUGCUGGCGUUUUCUAAAGCAAAUUUCGCAAACAAAUUACAUGUAAAUUGACUGUAUUUUACAAAAAUGGUUAUCAUUUCACAAAAAUAAUUACUUUAUUACGCAAAUUUUACCUGAAAAUGUAAAAAUUUUAACUUUAAUUUACUGGGGUCAAACCUUUGAAAAGUUUAGAGCCCCCCCUUCAGUAUAUCAAGAACUUUCAGAGCCCCCCCUUUAAUGCCAGAAAAUAUUUCGGAGCCC